rnacentral:rRNA from 1 species
GCCUUCAUGAAGCCGGAAUUGCUAGUAAUGGCAGGUCAGCAUACUGCCGUGAAUACGUUCCCGGGCCUUGUACACACCGCCCGUCACACCAUGAGAGUUGGGAAUACCCGAAGCCUGUGAGCUAACGUUAAGAGGCAGCAGUCGAAGGUAGAAUCAAUGAUUGGGGUGAAGUCGUAACAAGGUAAC